rnacentral:rRNA from 1 species
UGCUUUAAGGGUGGAUGGUGGAUGCCUCGGGAGGUGGGAGCGAUGAAGGGCGUGGCGUAGCUGCGAUAAGCCCGGGGGAGCCGCGUAGCAGGCUGUGAUCCCGGGAUGCCCGAAUGGGGAAACCUGGGUGAGGCUUAAACCUCACUCAUCCUGCACUCAAUUUGAGUGCAGGAGGCGAGACCCGGGGAAGUGAAACAUCUCAGUACCCGGAGGAAAAGAAAUCAAUAGAGAUUCCCUGAGUAGCGGCGAGCGAAAGGGGAAGAGCCUAAACCUUGUUUCCAAUUGGAAACAAGGGGUUGCGGGGUUAAGGCGGGGAAUUUUCCCGGAAGGUUACAAAACUUCUCUCUAGCCGAAAGACCCUGGAAAGGGCUGCCAUAGAGGGUGAAAGCCCCGUAGGCGAAAGGGAGAAGUCCUUCUGGCCUUAAUUCCCAAGUACCACGAGGCCAAGAAAACCUUGUGGGAAGCAGGGGGGACUACCCUCCAAGGCUAAAUAUCUCCACCUCACCGAUAGUGCACAUAGUACCGCGAGGGAAAGGUGAAAAGUACCCCGGUGAGGGGGGUGAAAUAGAACCUGAAACCAUCCACUCACAAAGAGUCGGAGCCUUGUAGGAAUUUUCCUACAAGGUGACGGCGUACCUAUUGGAGCAGGAGCCAACGAGUUUUCGUCUUCCCCAAGUCUAACUCCACUAAGUGGAGGUAGGCGAAGCGAAAGCGAGUCUGAAAAAGGCGCGAGGGGAAGGCGAAAGACCCGAAGCCAGUCGAGCUACCCCUGGGCAGGGUGAAGUCCCACGAAAGUGGGAUGGAGGCCCGAACCGGUGGAUCGUGCAAUAUCCUCGGACGACCUGGGGGUAGGGGUGAAAGGCCUAUCUAGGCUGGGAAUAGCUGGUUCUUCCCGAAAUAGCUUUAGGGCUAGCCUGGGGAGUUUCAAUGGCGCGGUAGAGCACUAGAAGGGAUAGUGUGGGUUUUCCCAGCUAUUCCUACUAAACUCCGAAUGCGCCAUUGAUAAUCCCUGGAGUCAGAGGGUGGGGGAUAAGCUCCAUCCUCGCGAGGGGAACAGCCCAGACCCCAAGCUAAGGUCCCUAAAUCCGGGCUAAGUGCUAAAUUAAGGAAGUGGAAUUCCUCAGACAGCCGGGAGGUUAGCUUAGAAGCAGCUAUCCUUUAAAAAGUGCGUAACAGCUUACCGGUCGAGGAAUUCCGCGCCGAAGAUUUAUAGGGGCUCAAGCCCGGUACCGAAGCUGGGGGUGCGUCCAUCGUUGGCGAUGGGCGCGCGGUAGGGAAGCGUUCCUAGCUGCGAUGAAGGCAAGUAGUGAUACUUGCUGGAGCGCUAGGAAGUGAGAAUGUUGGUAUGAGUAACCGCAACCUGGGUGAAAGCCCCAGGGGCCGGAAGCCCAAGGUUUCCGUGGCAAUGGUGAUCAGCCACGGGUUAGGCGGUCCUAAGGGGAACCCAAUCGGGGGACCCGAAGGGUAGUGGGUUAAUAUUCCCACCCUACCUGAAGGUUCUGAAGGGUGACGCACUGGGGAGCCUGGGAGGGGAAGUAUGGCUUUUCCCUUUGCGCCAGGAUUUUCCUGGCCUCUUGGGUGAACUGGUGCCUAGAAAAACCCGUAGGGUUAACCUUCAGGUAACCGUACCGCAAACCGACACAGGUGGGCUGGUGGAGAACACCAAGGCCAACGGGUGAAAGCUGGGGAAGGAACUAGGCAAAAAAGCUACCCGUAAGCUCUGCGAGAUGGGUUGCCCUCUAGAUUUUUUUAUUCUAGGGGGCCGCAGUAAAAGUGCUCCAGGCGACUGUUUACCAAAAACACAGGUCCCUGCUCAAGCCGAAAGGCUAGGUAUAGGGGCUGAGGCCUGACCACCACCCGUGUGUUAUGGCUGAGGAUCCCUGGAGUUUUUUCUGGGGGUUCAUCGGCUAAAGCCACGGGUCAGGGUCCGGGGUAACUCUGACCCUGCUAAGGUAGCGUAAUCCCUUGUCGGGUAAGUUCCGGCCUGCAUGAAAGGCUUAACGACUUGGAGACUGUCUCCCCCAGCUGCCCGGUGAAAAUACAAUGGGUGUGAAGAUGCACCCUACCCGCGGCUAGACGGAAAGACCCCGGCAGCUUUACUGCAGGGUGAUAUUGAGUUUAGGUUUCUGGUGCAUAGCGUAGCGGGGAGCCUGUGAAGGCAGGUCUCCGGGCCUGCUGGAGGCGCCAAUGGAACACCCGCCACUGGAUGCCUUUACUCUAAUCUCCCGAUGGCUAAGGGUAAAAACCUAGCUUAGGGAGAGACAGUGUCACUCGGGCAGUUUAGAUGGGGCAUCUGCCCCCUAAAAGGUAACGGGGGCGUGCAUAAGGUCGGCUUGGGGCGGAUGGAAAUCGCCCUUAAAGUGCAAGGGCAAAAGCCGGCCUGACUGCGAGGGGGACACCCCAAGCAGAGGGGAAACCCGGCCCUAGUGAACCGAUGCUUCUUUGUAGAAAGGGCAAAGAUCAUCGGCCAAAAGUUACGCCGGGGAUAACAGGCUGGUGGAGCCCGCGAGUCCACAUCUACGGCUCCGUUCGGCACCUUAGCCAAAAGAAUCGGGGUGCCUCGGAGGGUAACCUCCGAGAAAAAUAGCAGCCAAAAACGGUGAAAAUCCAUUGGGAAUUUGGUAAAAUUUUCCAAUGGACAACACCGUGGGAAGCUUAAACUGGCAACAAAAAUCAGUGAUUAUAGGAUGUGUUUUAGGAGAUGGAUACUUGAGAAAGCUUGAAGGGAGAAAGAAUGCCUUUUUGGAAGUGAACCACUCGGCAAAAGCAAAAGAAUAUGUGGAAUGGAAAUACAGGAUUUUGAAAAAGAUUUGUAAAAGUCCACCUAAAGAGAGAAGAAUUGAUGAAAAAAGAAAGGCUUUGAGAUUUUACACUAGAGAGCAUCCAGAAAUUACCGAAAUUUACGAAAGAUUUUACCAAAACGGAAAAAAGGUUGUCCCAAAAGGUUUUGAAUUGAAUCCUUUAAUUUUGGCAGUGUGGUUUAUGGAUGACGGGAGCAAAACAAAAAAAGGUGAUCUCUAUUUGAACACUCAAAAGUUUGAUUGGAAAAACCAAAGAAGGUUAUUGCAUGCUCUGAGGAUGAUUGGAAUUAGAGCAAGAAUGAAUAAAGACAAAAAAUAUUGGCGAAUUCGAAUUUAUAAAGAAUCAAUUCCAAAGUUGGUGGAACUAAUUUCCCCUUACGUUAUUAAAAGUAUGCGAUAUAAGUUGCCAGUUUGAGCCCCGUAGAGACUUGCUCUCUUUAAGAGAGCAGGCUCCUCCAAAUGAGGAGGGGCAAAGAGGCUGCCCCCUUCAGUAAAAUCGCAUCUGAAGGGUGAAGGUAUAGUCCUUACCUCAAAAGAGGGAGGCGAUGUCGGCUCGUCUCAUCCUGGGGGUGGAGAAGCUCCCAAGGGUUGGGCUGUUCGCCCAUUAAAGAGACCCGUGAGUUGGGUUCAGUACGUCGUGAGACAGUAGGGAACCUGCUGUCUAUAAAUCCGGCUAUAUGCUGGGAAGUCCGUCCCCUAAAAGGGGUGCAGUAUCCGGCGCUACUUGACAUCCUAGUUAGAUAGAGACAAACUAUCUCUAGGAUGCCAGGUGAAAAUGCGUCCGGUGCGGACAAUCAGCAGGUAACGGGAGAGAAAAUUUCCAAAGAUUAUCUUGUCGGAUUUGUGGAAGGAGAAGGUGUUUUUAUGUCGGACUGAGUAAAAGAAAGGAUUUACCAACGGGAUGGCAAGUAAUUGCUGAAUUCAAAGUAAGCCAAAAUCCUAAAGGAAGAAAAAUCUUGGAAGUUUUAAGAGAAAGAAUAGGUUGCGGAAGCAUUAAAAGAAACGACUUGAAAAAUAAAAAAGAUAAAACCUGGAUUUUAAUUGUAAGAAAACAAAAAGACUUGAUUGAAAAAGUAAUUCCUUACUUUGAAGGCAAACUCUUGGUAAAAAAGAAAGAAUUUGAAAAGUUUAAAAAUGUAUUGGAGUUAAUGAAAAAGAGAGAACAUCUUAAACCAAAAGGAAUAAGAAAAAUUGUAGAAAUAAUUUAUUCCUCUCCUUCCAAAAGGAAAAAAUAUUCAAAAGAAAUUAUUCUCUCCCGGAACCUCAGAGACCAUACGCCGGACACUGCGGCUAAUUAAAAGGCUGCGGUGAAGAUAUGGUCCGACCUCCGCGGCGACGCGGAGAGGUUGAGGGAAACCUCAACCCGCCCAGUACUUUUUGUCAAAGUGCUGGGUCACAAAAGUAACAGAGUGACGGUCCCUAUCUACCGCGGGCGUCGAGGAAUCUUGAGGGGUGUGGCCCACAGUACGAGAGGACCUGGGUCAACCGACCUCUGGUGUACCAGUUGUCAAGCCUAUUGGCACAGCUGGGUAGCCAUGUCGGGACGGGAUAAGGGCUGAAAGCAUCUAAGCCCGAAGCCCACCCCAAGAUUAGGAUUCCCCAUUACCCCGGUCAGAGACUAUGACCUUGAUAGGGCGCACCUGGAAGCCCUGCAAGGGGUUGAGGGGAGCGCUACUAAUGGG